GACGAACGCUGGCGGCGUGCUUAACACAUGCAAGUCGAACGGAAAGGCCCUGCUUUUGUUGGGUGCUCGAUUGGCGAACGGGUGAGUAACACGUGAGUAACCUGCCCUUGACUUUGUGAUAACUUCAGGAAACUGGGGCUAAUACCGGAUAUGAGCUCCAGCUGCAUGGUGGUGGUUGGAAAGUUUCGGCGGUUGGGGAUGGACUCGCGGCUUAUCAGCUUGUUUGUGGGGUAGUGGCGUACCAAGGGUUUGACGGGUAGCCGGCCUUGGAGGGUGAACGGCCACAUUGGGACUGAGAGACGGACCAGAAUGCUACGGGAGGCAGCAGUGGGGAAUAUGGCAGAAUGGGCGGAAGCGUGAUGCAGCAACGCCGCGUGCGGGAUGAUGGCUUUCGGGUUGUAAACCGAUUUCGACUGUGACGAAGAGUGAGUGACGGUAAUGGGUAAAGAAGCAACGGCUAACUACGUG
rnacentral:rRNA from 1 species